rnacentral:rRNA from 1 species
GACGUAGGGCGCGAGCGUUGUCCGGAUUUAUUGGGCGUAAAGAGCUCGUAGGCGGCUUGUUGCGUCCGCUGUGAAAACCCGCAGCUCAACUGUGGGCUUGCAGCUGAUACGGGCAGGCUUGAGUUCGGUAGGGGAGACUGGAAUUCCCGGUGUAGUGGUGGAAUGCGUAGAUAUCGGGAGGAACACCAGUGGCGAAGGCGGCUUCCUGGACCGGUUCUGACACUGAGGAGCGAAAGCGUGGGGAGCGAUCCGG